GACGAACGCUGGCGGCGUGCUUAACACAUGCAAGUCGAACGGAAAGGCCCUGCUUUUGUGGGGUGCUCGAGUGGCGAACGGGUGAGUAACACGUGAGUAAACUGCCCUUGACUUUGGGAUAACUUCAGGAAACUGGGGCUAAUACCGGAUAGGAGCUCCUGCUGCAUGGUGGGGGUUGGAAAGUUUCGGCGGUUGGGGAUGGACUCGCGGCUUAUCCGCUUGUUGGUGGGGUAGUGGCUUACCAAGGCUUUGACGGGUAGCCGGCCUGAGAGGGUGACCGGCCACAUUGGGACUGAGAUACGGCCCAGACUCCUACGGGAGGCAGCAGUGGGGAACCUUGCACAAUGGGCGGAAGCCUGAUGCAGCAACGCCGCGUGCGGGAUGACGGCCUUCGGGUUGUAAACCGCUUUCGCCUGUGACGAAGCGUGAGUGACGGUAAUGGGUAAAGAAGCACCGGCUAACUACGUG
rnacentral:rRNA from 1 species